AGUGGCCAUAUUGUGGCUGGAGUGAAGCAAAUGGUGUACGCAGGGUAGUGAGUAACAAUUUCAAGCUUUUUAUGGGAUUAAUAACAUUUCUUAGACGACUAUAAGGAAGGAAAGUGUGACUGUUCUACGGUCAUCAUUUGAUAGCGACUUUUCCUUGCUUGUCCUAAGUGUCCUCGGACGACCAGGGACAUUCCCUAACUAUGGGGGAGUUUUGUUCGCGCGGCAAGCGAGGCAACGUCAGUUGCUGCCUUGCCGUCGUGGAGGUCGGACGUGCUGUCUCGUGCUGGAACUGUAGUUGCUAACAAAGGCCUUAACUGUUUGCGCGGCACUUAACUGCGUGCUGCCUUUUCCAGACGGGCUUUAUGGAAUCUUAUGUUAAAGCAAACUAACCAAAAGUCAUUCUACGCUACGACUUCUCGACCAUGCCAAGGAGCCUCAGCAGUCAAAAUGGUGGCUUCAAGUCUCCAAAGCCCGUUUAUUCAGCAACAUUAUCUGCGGUCACCCAAGCGCCGUACGCUAUCUACCGGCACUGGGAGACCUGGCUCCAAGCAGUCAAGGGACGCUCCAGAUAAGGCACAUCAGCUGUCAGUGUGCAGGGAACAUAAACACAAAGGGGCGUCCCUGUAAGGCCAGCAGUGCAUGUUCUGAGAGGCCUUCAUAAAGCCGACCUUGAAAGUUGUUGGUCGGGCUGUGGAUAAAUCGUUGUUCAACCCAUUUGGAGUCGCCACUUCCACAGGGUUGGCGGCCAGGCGUGCCCGGCGGUUUGGCGGCUUUCGGGUUCUGCUUCAGGCCGAGGUUUUUGAGGUCAGACGCCCUUGGACUUUGGUGGUAAACCGGCUGUUGCCUAUAGCCGCCGAGCUCACGUGGAGUCUUCCCGCCCAUCAAGGAAGACGGCUCUGGGUUUUGGUCGUCGUCUCUAGUAGACGUCCAUGAUGGCUCGUCGAAGGCUGUGGUUCUCUCUCGGGGUUUGCGGCCGGACUCGCCCGGAGCUUUGGGGGCUGGUGGGUUCUGCUUGUAGGCGGAGGUUUUUGAGGUCAGACGCCCUUCGACUCUGGCGGCAAACUGUUGGUUCUCUAAGCUCCGAGCGUUUGCGGUCGUCCCGGCUAUCUGGAGUUCCCGCCUGAGCCCUAAUGCCGAAAGAGCAGCAAGGCCCUAUGGAUGUAUGUGCCCAUGGUAGCUGCGCCCGAUUCGCCCGGAGGUUCGGUGGGUGGCGGAUACUGUCUGUAGGCGGAGGUUUUUGAGGUCAGACGCCCUCCGACUCUGAUUGUGAUACGUUGUUUACCUAGCCUCCGAGCGUUUCAGGACUGCUUCCCGUCGGGUUCGCGGUGUGCACUACUCACAGAAUUUGUGCCGCACUUCCUGUGGCGCCCAACUUUGGCAGCGGGCACCCAGUAGGGGCGCGCAGUUCCUCUCUGGCCCGGUGGUUCGGCCGCUGGUGGGCUCCUGUUGUUUGGCGGAGGUAUUUGAGGUCAGACGCCCUCCGUCUUCGGCUGUGAACCUCUGGUGGCUUUGGCAUCGAGCUUGAGUGGACGAGCCGCCCAACUUGUUGGGCUCUCCGCUGACGGUCGCCACAGAAGCAGCUUCCCUGCAUAAAGUAGCCGCGGCACAUAAACUUGUGGCAUACCUCUCAGAGCAUGCGUGUAGCUUGGUCGCACACGCUUCAGUGGUGUGGAACACGUGGGCCAGUGGGUAUGUAGUGUAUAGGUGAGAAAGCUGCGUCAGGUGUGCAUUGCACACGCUCUCCUCGCACGUGAGUGCUAGCUGCACUGUGCGACCUGGGGAUGGCCGAUACUGCGACUUGAGCUGGGCCUGUGGCCAGCCAUGGGGCACGUUUGGCCGAGGCCGCUCACCGUGGUCUUGCGGGGGUCACUGUCUUGGGCGCCGUUCUCAUGACACGAUCCAGUGUUGCCCAGCUGAUUCGUGGAGUGCUGAAGACGUCCGCCCCCUGGCCAGUGGAUAGAGCGGUCCGGCUGAUGACCACCAUUGGCACCUUAAACCACUGCGUGCACCUCUCGGACGUUCCGGGCCCUAAGACAUUUGACUGCAUCUCAGAGCUGCUUAGCUCACUCUUUUUAACAUGGGCCUAGCCAGACUGGGGAUACUACUGCUCGCGUGCGCGGCGCUCCGUCGCGUCGCUUGGUUCUCGGGAAUUUCGGCACGGGUUUAAACCCUCGCUGGUUUGUGCGGUUGCUCCGGUUUCAGGCUCCUGUUUUUCUUCGGCGGUAGCGUUAGGUGGUGUGUGGUGUUUUCAUCGUGUCAUUAGCGGAUGCCUUCAGCUGCAAGCACAUCGAAAGAAGACGAAGAUCAAGCUCUGCGCUCGUGUGUGUGUGUGUGCGCGAAGCCCCCCAGCCAGGGGCACCCCAGCAAGGGGUACUGUGAAGUGCGCGGGUGUUAACAAACAGGGCCUGGCUGUUGCAAGUGCCGUUCUCGCUAGGACCCGUUUGCCUGACCCGAGGGCGAGGUUACCCGUGGGGUUGUCGUGUCGCGAUGGGCCCUGGCUUGCUUCGCAUAUUCAAAAAAACGUUGAGUCCACCUUGGGCUACGGGGCCGACUGGGGCUGUCGUGGGGGGCUUUAGUGCACGCUUUUUUUUAACCAUUUCUUUGUCGGGCGUGUCGGCUGGCUACACUGUGCCUAGCUCGGGUAGUUGUCACUGGGCUGUUCACUGUGCCGCCGUGGGCAGUGGGCCAACAUGCUUUGGAGGGUAGCUGCCGUGCUGUUGCCCUAGCAGCGCACGACACUAAAGGUACACUGGGUGUUGUCACAACACGACAUUAAAUCACAGACAGCAGGACAAGUGCACAAGGAGCCUACACACUUAGCUCGAAGAGGCCUUUAUGACUGACAAGAAGACUCCAGCACAACGAAAGCUGCCAAGCGUCAUCUGAAUUGAACUAUUCAAGGUCCUGAAGACAUCUAAAGAUGCAUCAGGCACAGGCUGCAUCUAUAUGGCACCCACUUGUAAAUGAAGCUCUUGAAGGUCAAGUCUACAUCAUCAAGGUCAAGAGGUCCGCGUCAUCGAAAGUGUUCAGUGCCGUGUGGUGUUCAACGGUUUGUGCGUUUUUUUUUCUCGCGGAGUGUUUUUCAUUUUCGGUGGUACAGCCGCACUCCCUGGAGCCGCGGUGCUGUGCUUGUGCGUCUGUGUGAAGUGUUAUGGCCUGUUUCGUCGGUGCAAUCAGUGGUCUGAAGUGAAGAAGUCGCUGCCCAGCGAAGUGGAAGAUUUCUAGUGGGUGCCAUGUAGAUUGCGGGCCUUCGCGGCCCCGCAGUCUGUGACCUGAAAGCGAACUCUGUAAAUUCAACCAAGAACUGAACUGUUCUCAAGUUUCCUCUCAACGCAUGGACUUCUCAAAAGCAAAAAAACAUCAACACGUCACUGGUAGAUAGGGAAAGGGGUGGGUCAUCAUCUAGAAGUCCUUACAGAGGAACUUGUUUUGCAAUAAAUUCUUGAAUUGAAACU
rnacentral:lncRNA from 1 species